GACCUCUUGUCUUCUCUCAUUUCCCCACAUCCAGUGUUGUGAAGGCCUCCCCUCCUCUUCCCCCCCAAGGUGUGCAUUGCCUUUGAAAGGCUAGCAGGCACUUAACAGUAGAUAACUUUUCCAAGUAAUCUGAAGAUUAACCAUCUAACGUAAACCCGUUCCUGUGCUCCGUCAUGUAAGGUGGAUCCGUUCUCUCAGCUGCUCCUCGGAUCAUCCUGGAUGUGCUCUCUGCACGUCAUCUCUCAGCACAGACUUAAAGAAGACUCGUGAUGGGGCUUCCUUGGUGGCUCCGAUGAUUACAGUGGCUGGCAGGACCACGCUGACUGGAGAAGAUGCAAGGCCCGCAGUGAGAAAGCAGCUUGACACAACCCAUCCUCAUGCGUCACUUUUCAGGAAUGCCGCUCUGCUCUUCACACGCAUGGAGGCCAUCUAGGCCGUCUGGGAGCAAAAAUUGGUGUACUUGACCAGAGGAGGCAGGUUUCUCAGCGAAAUAGGGCAUUUGUUUAUUUGUUAUGCUGUGGGUUUAGUUAAAUAAAUGCUGAAAAUGUGCAGGCAGCAGACUUGUUUGGUAUCGAGAACUUGGCAGAUGUGACAAUGUGCAGACACGUUGAACUGCGAUUGUCAUGUUGCGUGGUAGGAAUCAGUGAAGGGAGCCCAACUGGGUGAAUGAAGUGUGUGUGAGAAACAGGUUGCUCCUGAAAGACUAGUGAGAGGCCAGCUCCGGGUCCUGAGAGCGCUCAGGUGUGCUUCUGUUUUGAGUCUGAAGGAGCACUAGUACUAGUCGGGCACCAGGAGCUGCUCCCCUCCCCUCCAGCUCUGAGUUGCCUGGUGGGACAUCUCAGGUGGCUUUGGCAGGGGAGCAUGGGGAUCGUGGAGGAGGAAGCCAACCUUCCGCAAGGUGGACCAGGUCCCGUGGACUCAUCCUUGCCCCAAAGUGUCUGACUGACCAUCUAGGGUGGUGUUGCAGCUGGAGACAGGCCUUGCUGAGCAGAAGCCCACCUGUGGCCCCCACCCACCACCAUGGACACUCUCUUCACGUACCCAUUGCCCACACCAAGGUCGUGAUAGCAGGCGAGCUGACUGUUCUGUCUGCUUGGAUGUUCAGGUGAUGUUCUUAAUGGGCAUUGACAUGUGAUCAGUGGUCUUCAUGCUAUGUGCCAACUCCCAGAGGACCAUCUGCUUGCCUCUCCGACCCCUGUGUCUGUGACCUCCCAGCUGCGCUCCUGCCACGCUCAUUGCUGACCAGUGGAACCCUUUGUCACUUCCCAUAAUCUUUUUCCACAAAUGAUUCUGGAACCAUUGGGAUCACUAUGCAAAACUAAAGCCAUACCUCACACCACAUAA
ensembl:lncRNA